AACGCACAUUGCACCUGCUAGUACUCUGGCAGGUAUGCCUGUUCGAGCGUCAUUUCAAACCUCAAGCCUUUGCUUGCUGUUGGGGCAUUGCAGUCUCUUUUUAGGGGAGUGCAAGCCCUGAAUUCUAGUGGCGGAGCCGCCGUAGAACCUGAGCGUAGUACUGCUAAUAGCUCCUGGAACUCGGUGGUGCCGGCCGUUAAAUGCACUAUAUUUUACAUGGUUUGACCUCGGAUCAGGUAGGGAUACCCGCUGAACUUAA
rnacentral:misc_RNA from 1 species